rnacentral:rRNA from 1 species
GGCCUGCGGAAGGAUCAUUACCGAGUGAGGGCCCUCUGGGUCCAACCUCCCACCCGUGUCUAUCGUACCUUGUUGCUUCGGCGGGCCCGCCGUUUCGACGGCCGCCGGGGAGGCCUCGCGCCCCCGGGCCCGCGCCCGCCGAAGACCCCAACAUGAACGCUGUUCUGAAAGUAUGCAGUCUGAGUUGAUUAUCAUAAUCAGUUAAAACUUUCAACAACGGAUCUCUUGGUUCCGGCAUCGAUGAAGAACGCAGCGAAAUGCGAUAAGUAAUGUGAAUUGCAGAAUUCAGUGAAUCAUCGAGUCUUUGAACGCACAUUGCGCCCCCUGGUAUUCCGGGGGGCAUGCCUGUCCGAGCGUCAUUGCUGCCCUCAAGCACGGCUUGUGUGUUGGGCCCCGUCCCCUCCCCCGGGGACGGGCCCGAAAGGCAGCGGCGGCACCGCGUCCGAUCCUCGAGCGUAUGGGGCUUUGUCACCCGCUCUGUAGGCCCGGCCGGCGCCAGCCGACACCCAACUUUUAUUUCUAAGGUUGACCUCGGAUCAGGUAGGGAUACCCGCUGAACUUAAGCAUAUCAAAA